rnacentral:rRNA from 1 species
UACGAAGGGGGCUAGCGUUGCUCGGAAUCACUGGGCGUAAAGCGCACGUAGGCGGAUUGUUAAGUCGGGGGUGAAAUCCUGGAGCUCAACUCCAGAACUGCCUUCGAUACUGGCGAUCUCGAGUCCGGGAGAGGUGAGUGGAACUCCGAGUGUAGAGGUGAAAUUCGUAGAUAUUCGGAGGAACACCAGUGGCGAAGGCGGCUCACUGGUCCAUUACUGACGCUGAGGUGCGAAAGCGUGGGGAGCAAACAGG